rnacentral:lncRNA from 1 species
CAAAGAGAUCCAUGUGAAGAAGUCGCAAAGGUAUUGUAGUUGAAACAAUAUUCUUAGAUUUAAAAGAUACUUUUGUUUGCUUCCCUUUUUGACAAGAAUCACAAAUAGUGUCAUUUUCAAAUUUCAAAUUUGGAAGACCAAUAACUAAAUUUUAGAAUCACAAAUAGAGUCAUUUUCUAAUUUCAAAUUUGGAAGACCAACAACUAAAUUUUGUGAGACCAAUUUGUUCAAAAGAUGCAUGUUGAUGUGAGCUACUAUACGAUGCCAUAACCAAGAGUCAUCCUCUUUGCUCAUUAAACAAUUCAUUUAUUCGGGUGAAGAAUUUGCAAGAUCAACCAUAUAAAUGUUAUCCAUUCUAAAACCAUAAAGGAUAAUUUUAAAAUCGCUACGUCUAAAAACUAAGCAUUCAUCCGAAUCAAAUAAAACAA